UAUUUUAUUCAACAAUCAAUAAGAUAAACAUACAUAGACGUACUUCCCCAUCACCCUUCUACUUUUAUGUCUUCUAAGAACUUCAGGUGACCACUGGGACUAAAGGUGGAGCCAAGCCUUUUCAGCCUUCCCCACUGACCCCAAGCACUGUGUGCUCCACACAAAGCCAUGCGCAGCCAGUGGAAUGUGGACAAUUCCUCGAUGUUCUGGCAUGGACAUGAUCUCCUUCGUGCUUCCAACACGGGAUUCCGAUCAAUAAGUUGGGGCCCCAAGCUUCUUCAGGAAAACAGUUUUUAUUUGUGCUAGCAGAUUCAUCCAAACUUCUGUUUCAAAGAACCAAGCCCCAAAGGCUCACUAGACGGAGCCUUUUGGAUUUUGCGUCUUUGUCUCCCAUACAUGGACCCCCCACCAUAGUGACAUGGUGGCAGAACAGGAAGGGAAACUAAUCACCCCACAUCAUCCCCAAGACUUGUGAACGACUGCUCUUUCUGUACUGAGUACUCACAGAUGUGGAAACAGACCCACAGGGAACUCACGGGGCUAUCGGCAAUAGAGGCACCAUCAGUCCCAGCACCAAGUCCCAUCAGGGAAGUAGCCAAACUCUGUGUGAAAUAAUUAAAAAAUUAUUUUUCACUUUCUUAAUUUCUUUUCAAAAAUUUUAUAAAUGUAUAUUGUAUUUAUAUCAUUCCUCCCCUUCCUCUCCUCCUAUGCCCCCACCUUGUGCUCCCUUUCAAAUUCUUGUAUUUACA
rnacentral:lncRNA from 1 species